rnacentral:tRNA from 1 species
UGGGAUGUAGCUCAGUGGAAGAACGCUUGCCUAGCGCAAGUAUCUGGGUUUGAUUCCCAGCAGUACAG